GUGCUCACUUCAGUAGCACAUAUAUUAAAAUUGGAACGAUAUAGAGAAAAUUAGCCUGGCCCCUCUGUAAGGAUGAUACAUACAUUUGUAAAGUGUUCCAUAUUUUU
rfam:Pteropus alecto contig81708, whole genome shotgun sequence.